CCUACGGGAGGCAGCAGUAGGGAAUAUUGGUCAAUGGGUGAGAGCCUGAACCAGCCAUGCCGCGUGCAGGAAGACGGCCUUCUGGGUUGUAAACUGCUUUUGUCAGGGGAUAAAAUUUCCUUGCGAGGAAAAUUGAAGGUACCUGGCGAAUAAGCCACGGCUAACUACGUGCCAGCAGCCGCGGUAAUACGUAGGUGGCGAGCGUUGUCCGGAUUUAUUGGGUUUAAAGGGUGCGUAGGCGGCCUAUUAAGUCAGUGCUGAAAUAUUCCGGCUUAACCGGGAGGGUGGCAUUGAUACUGAUGGGCUAGAGUACAGAUGAGGUAGGCGGAAUUGACGGUGUAGCGGUGAAAUGCUUAGAUAUCGUCAAGAACACCUAUAGCGAAGGCAGCUUACUAGGCUGAAACUGACGCUGAGGCACGAAAGUGUGGGGAUCAAACAGG
rnacentral:rRNA from 1 species